UUUCUGUGUAGUUUUAAUUAAACUGAAUCAUAUGUGAACAGAUUAGAAUCGGAAAAGUUGUGAUAUUCGCAAAAUUAAGGAAUUUGAAUCGCUAAUUACACUUCUGAUUCGAAUUUGGUAUCAACAAAUCUCUAAUUUUCUUUUUUAUUUCGAGAACGGCACAGCCACUCAAGCGUGGAGAUCAGUCAUGUCUACGAAGAAGAAACUGAACAAUUUUAAGGCCGACGGCCUUGAGCCACGUCGCAAGACUAAGAGGAGCCGACGUGAGAAACGGAAGGCGACAGCGGAGAAGCUGAGUGCGAAAUUGGCCAAGAAGAAAGCAAAGACUCAGCUGAUGAAGAAGGGGCUCGACAAUUCGAUGGCCAAACUCGAGGAGAUGGAAUCCGAAUGCGCCAGAAUGAGGGAGGAGUACAAGCUGGCGAUUGAGGAGAACGUCGAUCUCCAACUCUCCGUCGACUACGUGCUGUUUGCCUUCUUGCGUGGAGGACAUGGUGGAAGCUGAUACCUCAUUCACUCUUGGAUCCACUAAACCCUGAAUCUGUUCAACACUGACUCGACCAAUUAUGCGAAGAUCUCAGAACGUCUUUGCUUUGACUUGGACCAAAAUAAACGGAUUGCACAUACUCUCACUCUACAUGCUAGGGCAUAUAAUUCCAGCGAAGGUGGUACAUGUAAGAAGUUCCCUUCCAAGUCGUCCAUUAAGGUUUGGUGCUGCAAAGAUUCAAGAAGAUGUUUUCAACCUUUUUGGAGCUGGAUUGCGUGAGUACUUGGGGCCAUAUGGAAUUAUGGGUCAAGGAAGUCAACAUGCUAAAUGUUGUUACUUCUUUUGUCCUUGACUUGAUUCCUUACUGAGUUGCCUGAGAAUGCCUGCUUUCAGUCUGGUUUGGGUCAAGAAGAGCAGGAAAUGGCCACAAGAAGAGACCAGCUGGUUUAUGAUACUCAUAAGAUUAUUCUGCUUUAGAAAGAUGAUGUCCCAUUUAAGAUCACUUCAUGGGAAUGAUAUUGUUUCAUAUCAAGGAUUUGUUGUGCUCUUCCUAAUAUAUAUAGCUAAAAGAGGCUCAAGCAUUUCUCACCUA